ensembl:snoRNA
UAUCAGUGAUGAAACUAUCCCGAACCUGACCUACUGAUGAGAAAUUCUAUACGGAUCUGGCUUCUGAGAU